ACCUACGGGGGGCAGCAGUGAGGAAUAUUGGUCAAUGGGCGCGAGCCUGAACCAGCCAAGUCGCGUGAGGGAAGACGGUCCUAUGGAUUGUAAACCUCUUUUGUCGGGGAGCAAAAGACGCCACGCGUGGCGUUCCGAGAGUACCCGAAGAAAAAGCAUCGGCUAACUCCGUGCCAGCAGCCGCGGUAAUACGGAGGAUGCGAGCGUUAUCCGGAUUUAUUGGGUUUAAAGGGUGCGCAGGCGGAAGAUCAACUCAGCGGGAAAAUUGAGAGGCUCAACCUCUCUGAGCCGUUGAAACUGGUUCU
rnacentral:rRNA from 1 species